UGUGCCGGAAGACUGAUUCAGCCAACUUAGUACAGCCACCUUUAAUGAGAAACUCUGCUCUUUUCAGUGUCCUGCUGGUGCAUUCCCACGUGAAACCUAGCACAUGGCCAGUCUCCCCCCUCACUGGUUGGUCUUCAGGCCUUUCCAUUUCAGUAGAUCUCCCUCAGCGUUCUCCAAAAUGAGCUCUUUGCCACAUCUACAGUAGCUGUGGAGACAACCUUUCUCAGAAAGCAGUGCAGGGCUAAGGAAUGUUGAGCAGUUGGACUGCAAACACAAAUGGUGUCUUUUUCUUCCUUGUGGGUAUGUUAAUCCAAACAGCCUAUUAAAGAGCUGAGCCAGUUCUCACAUA